rnacentral:rRNA from 1 species
UACGGAGGGGGCUAGCGUUGUUCGGAAUUACUGGGCGUAAAGCGCACGUAGGCGGCUUUGUAAGUUAGAGGUGAAAGCCCGGAGCUCAACUCCGGAAUUGCCUUUAAGACUGCAUCGCUAGAAUUGUGGAGAGGUGAGUGGAAUUCCGAGUGUAGAGGUGAAAUUCGUAGAUAUUCGGAAGAACACCAGUGGCGAAGGCGACUCACUGGACACAUAUUGACGCUGAGGCGCGAAAGCGUGGGGAGCAAACAGG